AUUGAACGCUGGCGGCAGGCCUAACACAUGCAAGUCGAGCGCGAAAGGCCUUCGGGCUGAGUAGAGCGGCGGACGGGUGAGUAACGCGUAGGAAUCUACCUGGUAGUGGGGGACAACUUGGGGAAACUCAAGCUAAUACCGCAUACGCCCUAUGGGGGAAAGUGGGGGACCUUCGGGCCUCACGCUAUCAGAUGAGCCUGCGUAGGAUUAGCUAGUUGGUGAGGUAAAGGCUCACCAAGGCGACGAUCCUUAGCUGGUCUGAGAGGAUGAUCAGCCACACUGGGACUGAGACACGGCCCAGACUCCUACGGGAGGCAGCAGUGGGGAAUAUUGCGCAAUGGGGGCAACCCUGACGCAGCCAUGCCGCGUGUGUGAAGAAGGCCUUCGGUU
rnacentral:rRNA from 1 species